UACGGGGGGGGGCAAGCGUUGUUCGGAAUUACUGGGCGUAAAGGGCGCGUAGGCGGCUCGUCAAGUCGGGCGUGAAAUCUCCAGGCUUAACCUGGAAAAGUCGUUCGAUACUGUUGAGCUAGAGUGUGGAAGAGGCUACUGGAAUUCCAGGUGUAGCGGUGAAAUGCGUAGAUAUCUGGAGGAACACCGGUGGCGAAGGCGGCAUCCUGGACCGGCAUUGACGCUGAGGCGCGAAAGCUAGGAGAGCAAACGGG
rnacentral:rRNA from 1 species